UACGUAGGGGGCGAGCGUUGUCCGGACUUACUGGGCGUAAAGCGCGUGUAGGUGGUGGGACAAGUCUGCUGUGAAAGCGCCUGGCUUAACCGGGCGAGGUCGGCGGGAACUGUUUCACUGGAGGACGGUAGAGGGGGGUGGAAUUCCCGGUGUAGUGGUGAAAUGCGUAGAGAUCGGGAGGAACACCUGUGGCGAAGGCGGCCCCCUGGGCCGGCCCUGACACUGAGACGCGAAGGCGUGGGGAGCGAACGGG
rnacentral:rRNA from 1 species